GGUUCUAUGGCCGAGUGGUUAAGGCGGUUGACUAGAAAUCAACUCUCGUACGAGGCGUAGGUUCAAGUCCUACUGGAACCG